rnacentral:lncRNA from 1 species
GCCCGCCCGCCCGCUGCCUCGGCGCUAGGCCUUCUUGCACUUGCCCUUCUUCUCACGCUGCUGGAACUUGCGCAGCCGCCGCGCCCACGUGUCCCGCCACUGGAUCACCAGGCUGCUUUUAUCGGCCACGAUGCCGCUCUGGUCCGGAGAGUCCUCCGCGUUGCCCAGCAGCAGGUACUUCUUGAGGGGCUUGAUUUUGGGACACUUGCAGGCGAUGUCCCGCGAGCGGAUCCACAGGCUCUGGUCACCGCGGCGGAUGCGGCUCGUGCCCUGCUUAUACACGGAGAUGAUGUUCACCGUGAACUUCCACCAGUCCCCCGCCUUGUCCGCCUUCAGGAUGUGGAUCUGGACGGCUGCAAGGAAGCACAGGCAGACGGGUGGGCUCCCAGCUGCUGUGGCUAGGUCCGCCCUGCCUGAGCCUGGGGAGAAGGGAAAGGAGACCCAGCCCCAGGAAGUGACUGCACAGAGUGGCCCAUACAGGAGCGCGUGGGUGGUGGCAAGCUGAUCGUAGACCCCCACCUGCUAACAACAGGGCCAAGAAGCCUUGCCUCCCACGCUGUGAGGGUGCCACCCAGCACUGCCGUCGGGACAAGCCAUCUCCUGGCCUUGUCAAGGCCCACUUUGUCCAGGAAGCCUACAGGUGCUGACCACGCCCCCAGCACUCUGGGCAAGCUGUCUGCCCAGGGCAGGCGCUCGGGUGAGAGCAGUGCUGGCGGGGAGAGGGAGGUUCCUCAGGGGUGCGCUUCUCCAAAGGCCCAAGUCACUUUACACCAGCCCUCAUGACACUCCACACACAGCCUGGCCCUCCAACCAGCCUCAGAAAACCAUAAUGGGUCCUCAAUGCUCAGGGACAGAAGAUGAGAACCCACCCUUUGGGGUGGCCGUAGUGCCUUUUCCAGAGCCCCGGGAACCUUGGACUGCCGCUUCCCACGCCUAAGCCAUCCCUACCAGGUGGCCUCCCUUCCUCCAUGCCGCCCAAGGUCCCCAGACCAUUCCUCUUACUCCAAAUUCUCUGCCAGUAUUUUCCCUAGUAGAAGGACUUCCCCAAAUGGAGCAUGCAUCAGAAUCCCCUGGCCGGCUUGUGAAAAUACACUGCUGGGCCCCGCCCCAGAGCUUCAGAUUGAACAGAUCUGGGCUGGGCCAUGGAGUAGACUUGAGCCCUCCUGAGACAGGAGCAGCAGCUUGAAGAAACCAACACACAGGCAAGCUCUGUGGCUUCAGCAGCCACAAGGAC